GCGGGCGUGGCGGAAUGGUAGACGCAUGGGACUUAAACUCCCUGGAGCCUGGCUCGUGCGGGUUCAAGUCCCGCCGCCCGUACCA
rnacentral:tRNA from 1 species